rnacentral:rRNA from 1 species
GACGAACGCUGGCGGCGUGCUUAACACAUGCAAGUCGAACGGAAAGGCCCUGCUUUUGUGGGGUGCUCGAGUGGCGAACGGGUGAGUAACACGUGAGUAACCUGCCCUUGACUUUGGGAUAACUUCAGGAAACUGGGGCUAAUACCGGAUAGGAGCUCCUGCUGCAUGGUGGGGGUUGGAAAGUUUCGGCGGUUGGGGAUGGACUCGCGGCUUAUCAGCUUGUUGGUGGGGUAGUGGCUUACCAAGGCUUUGACGGGUAGCAGGCCUGAGAGGGUGACCGGCCACAUUGGGACUGAGAUACGGCCGAGACUCCUACGGGAGGCAGCAGUGGGGAAGAUUGAACAAUGGGCGGAAGGCUGAUGCAGCAACGCCGCGGGCGGGAUGACGGCGUUCGGGUUGUAAACCGCUUUCGCCUGUGACGAAGCGUGAGUGACGGUAAUGGGUAAAGAAGCACCGGCUAACUACGUG